rnacentral:rRNA from 1 species
UUUAAUUCAUACAUCUUAUUUAAUAUCUGUUGUUGGUCUAUUUAUUUUUAUUUGGUGUUAAGAUUGAGGGGGAUUAGCUCCUUAUUUUUGUUUUAUAAUUUUUAUUUGAAUGUGGUUUUGUGGAUUUUAUGGUGAUUUUCAAUUUGAUUAUGUUAAAAUUUUAUAUUUUUUUAUUGUUUAUUUUUGUGGAAAUUUAAUUUUUUAUUGGAAUGUUUAUUUUAUCUUUGGUUUGUAUAGUAAUUAUUGUGUAAUUAGUAAAUUUUUUGUGCGUGUUGUGUUUUAGUGUUGGUUGUAUAAUUUUCUUUAAGGAAUUAGGCAAAGGUUUAUCAUGUCCGCCUGUUUAACAAAAACAUCUUUUCUUGUUAGUUUUUGAAGUAUGGCCUGCCCGCUGACUUUGAGUUGAAGGGCCGCGGUAUUUUGACCGUGCAAAGGUAGCAUAAUCAUUAGUUCUUUAAUUGUGAUCUGGUAUGAAUGGCUUGACGAGACAUGGGCUGUCUUGGGGGUAUUGUUUUGUUGAAUUUGGUUUUUGAGUUAAAAUUCUUAGAUGUUUUUAUGGGACGAGAAGACCCUAUAGAGUUUAACAUUAUCUUUCCUUGUGGUAAUUGUUGGUUUGAUUUGUAUUGGUUUGAGGUUAGUUGUAGUGUUUUGUUGGGGCGAUGGGAGGGAAUGUUUUUAACUCCUCUUUAUUUUUAUAUAUUUAA